UUAAAUCAAAACCCUGGAACUUUCAAUUUUGCUGUGCUGAAACCCUUACUUCCGAUUUCUCUUGCUGCUUCAAUAACCUCCUUUUCGUCGAUCUCUCGAUCAAUCAGUACUUUUUCCAAAUUAUUAGCAAUCAUGUCGUUGAGGCCAAGCGCGAGGACCGAGGUUCGCAGGAAUAGGUAUAAGGUUGCCGUCGAUGCUGAGGAGAGUCGACGGAGGCGAGAAGACAACAUGGUGGAAAUUCGGAAGAAUCGUCGGGAGGAAAGCUUGCAGAAGAAGCGGCGUGAAGGCCUCCAAACCCAGCCCAUGCCAGCUGCAAUUCAUUCCUCUGCUGUAGAGAAGAGGUUAGAGCAUUUACCAUCGAUGGUUGCUGGUGUUUGGUCUGAUGAUAGUAAUUUGCUGCUUGAGGCAACCACUCAGUUCAGGAAGUUGCUCUCAAUUGAACGUAGCCCUCCAAUUGAGGAAGUCAUACA
rnacentral:misc_RNA from 1 species